rnacentral:rRNA from 1 species
UACGUAGGCAGCGAGCGUUUGUUCGGAGUUACUGGGCGUAAAGGGUGUGUAGGCGGUUGUUUAAGUUUGGUGUGAAAUCUCCCGGCCCAACUGGGAGGGUGCGCCGAAUACUGAAUGACUUGGAGUGCGGGAGAGGUGAGUGGAAUUCCUGGUGUAGCGGUGAAAUGCGUAGAUAUCAGGAGGAACACCGGUGGUGUAGACGGCUCACUGGACCGUAACUGACGCUGAGACACGAAAGCGUGGGUAGCAAACAGG